AUUUUUUCUCCACGACUAUUUGAAUACAAGUUCUCUUACUUGGUUAGUUAAAUAAUUGUCGUUCCUCUACAAAUUUCCAAACCCCGAUUAAAUCAAAAUAUUUUCACAGUAAGCUAAAUGAAAAGGGAGUUGACUUUGAGUUUUCAACUUCACUCCUCAGUUGGUCGAAUACGAGUUCUCUUACUCGGUCAGUCGAACAACUGUCAUUUUUCCGCAAACAUAC
rnacentral:lncRNA from 1 species